AAAAAAUAGUGAAAGAGUGUGCUAUAGUAACUCCUUUGUAAUUCCUCAAAUUUCAUAAGAAAAAUUUCAUAUUUCUCCUAUUUAUUUCCUUCUACACCCAACAAAUUUUGAUAUCAGAGCUUAGGUAAAAUAUAUAAACCAAAUCCUACCAAAAGUUGAAGCAAAAUCAGCCCCAAAAACCACCACAUCAGCAGCAUAUUUUUAACAGAAACUGGGCAGCUAUGGCAACAAAUUCAGCAGCCUCCUUGUUCACUUAUUCACCAAGUCAAGUACCAAUCUUUGAAGGUGAGCACUAUGAAGAUUGGAGUAGUCAAAUGCAAACUUUCUUCAUCUCUUUAGAUUUAUGGGAUGUCAUUGAAGAAGACGAGGUGGUAGAAGAUUCGACCGAAGGAGAUGAAGAAGAUCCAAAGUUACAAAAGGAAUAUAAAAAGAAAGAUGCAAUGGCGUUGCGAUAUAUUCAACAAGGAGUUGGAAAAUCAAUUUUUCCUCGUAUACUUGGUGUUAAAAAUGUCAAAGAUGCAUGAAAAAUUUUAAAUCAAGAAUUUCAAGGUUUAGAGAAAACUAUUACCUUGAAACUUCAAUCUUUAUGGAAAGAUUUUGACAAUAUCAAAAUGGAAGAACGGUAGUUAGUUUGUGAUUUCUCUUCACCAGUUUCAGAGAUUGUAAACCAAAUCAAAAGUUGCGGAG
rnacentral:lncRNA from 1 species